AUGUUCUCCCUCGCUGACACCACCUCAUGCUUUGGCCACUCCUCACCUGGGCCUCACACCUUUGCUCUCCACAGUGCCCCCAGCACUCGCACAGCAGGUCUUCAGUAUUUGCUGACUGACUCAAUGACUGACAGAGUCCAGGAGCAAAGUGGGAAGGUGGGAUGGAGGAUGCGACUGGGACACAAACCUCCUCAUGGUUUCCUUCCAGGUAACACCAAAGCAAUGGAUUACUGUCUCCCCAGCACCUGCGACAACGUCUGCCACAGGUCAGUGCCCCAUAAACCUUUGCAGAAAGAAAGGGGGGGGGGAGCAGACUUCUUCCUGGUUCCCCCGCCCCCACCCAGCCUGCCGCCCGGGGCUGCACAGAGGCGCCCCGAGGGGCUAGGAAAGCCCUCGGCCUGGCCUUUGGGGGGCCAGUGCUGUCUGCCAUCUCCUGCACCGGGCUGGCAGCCUCCAUUGCCAAUGCCUCCCACGGCCAGUGCGAACCAGCGGCAGAAGUGAAAGUUGGCUUGACCAUCCCGCUCUCAUCGCUUCUCCAUUCCUCUUGCAGUGUUCUCUUGGCUCGUGGACAGCGUACUCUUGUUUAUCUAAAUCUUGUUUUCCCAGACACAACCAACGUUGGGGUCAACCCAGGACUCACAGCCUGAGACGUCCGGCAGCCCAAUUCUCUUGCAUUCUGUAGGUCCCAGGUGACUCACUGUCGUCACUGAAAGCCUUGUGGUCAGUCCCCGCCUCGCUGCUACUCGCCACUGUCGCCGCUGCGCUGCUGGAUGCGCUGGCGGCUCCUGCUCCAGCUACUGAUUUUCUGGCCACCUCCGCUGCCCGUGAGGCUAGAAUACAGCAUUGUCCCCUGACCCGAGUGAUUAUUAGAAUUCCAUUUUAAGCUCAUCAAAGUAGGCAUGCACUUUCAGAUUCAGACACGUUUUCUUUUCAAGGAAGGUGGAGCAAGUUCCCCAGGGAGAGGCCUGAGGAUGCCGCCCCCUGCUGAAGGCCGAGCUCGCCCUCGCUGUACAGCUGGGCCAGAUGUGUCCUUUGACUACCUGCCACUCCAGCGCCGGGCCCACCUCCCAGAGCCGGCGCAGGCUUUGGUUCAGGAGUGUCGGCUCCUGUUCCGGCAGUACUGCUUGGGCCUCCUCCUCUGCUUUCCAGCCAACACUCCUGUCUCUUGGGGCCAGCCUUGUGCCCCCCUGCCACUCCAGCGCCGGGCCCACCUCCCAGAGCCGGCGCAGGCUUUGGUUCAGGAGUGUCGGCUCCUGUUCCGGCAGUACUGCUUGGGCCUCCUCCUCUGCUUUCCAGCCAACACUCCUGUCUCUGCUGUCCCUCUGCCACAUGAAUCCCUGCUGGCCCUUCAGCUCUAUGCCAUGCCCCCAAAGCCUGCCCUGACCCUCACAUCAGGUUAAUCGCCCUUUCUAUGCACUGGCAGGGUCUGAAGAGUACAGGGCUGUGCCUGUCCCGUUCAUUGUCACAUCCCCAAUGUCACCUUGUGUUGAGCACAUUGAAGUGACUGGAUAAAAACUGUUGUAAAGAGUGAACAAAUUGUGUGUGUUGGCAUCUUACAGGCCUUAGGGAUGGGGAGCCCCAUAUCCAAUGCCUCUGGUAUUCCCUGCAGCUCAAGGUUAAGGCCUCUGCCUAAAGCACCUGUGGAACAGGAGCUAAGUGGGUGUUUCAGCCUGCUGAGGGUAGGGAAGCUCUGCUAGGAGGGGCCAGAACUGCUCGAAGGCCCUCCUGACCUCCCCACACAAGAACAAGGGUAGGACUGACAGAGAAAAUACAGGACACCCAGUCACAUGUGCAUUUUGGAUAAACAUUGAAUAUAUUUUAAGUAUAUUGUUUGUCAUAUGUGGGACAUACUUAUGCCCCAAAAAAUUAAAUUCAAAUUUAAUCAGGCAUCUUGGGGUUUCUUCCUUCUUUCUAGGUCUUGGAACCCUAUCAAGGCAGACGUGAUCCACCAGGUGCUAGAGGAUCUGGGGUCCUUUUCCAAGGGACAUUCUGCACAUUGUCUGGGUUCCUCUUGCUCUUUAUAAACACUUUUGGCCAAAGAACAGGGCGAGCUCAAAGCUGGUUUCCCAGGGCCGUCACUAGCACACUUAAUCCAAGGUAUUGCCCUACAUCUCGACCCCUGACCCCAGCUACUGGACGUGAUAGUCCACGCAGGCCUUUCUGAAGAGGGGCUGUUUGUGUUGAGAUUUGAAGGAAUGAGUCAAGUGAUGAUGGAGAGAACAUUCCAGAGGAGAAUGGGAGUGAACUUGGUGAGUUUGAGGAACAGAAAGGCUAGUGCCGUGAGUGUGGAAAAAGAAGGUUUACAUGGAAAAGCUUGAGCCACAACUCUGGUCCCCAAGAAGGGGUCUAAAAGGCUGUACUCCUGGUCGAUCACCGCCUCCAGCUGUAACGUGAUGCUUUUCUGGUCUCCAAGGCAGCAGGGAUGGGGAAGGAAGAGAAUGGGUGUCUGCCAUCGUGGCUGGGGGGUUCUGGCAGCAGGGGGCCAGGCCAUGGGGCCCUGGUGCUUGACUGCAGUUUGGUGGGUUCACUACUCUUAAAAAUGGCAGGAUGGAGCCAUGAGUCCUUAGAGCUAAGUCCCAUGUGAACAGUCCCUGUGGAGGCACCACCUUAGCUUAGACAGCCACCUCCAUCCCCUUCUGAGAGCCCUGCUAAGGGGAAAGUGCUGCAGCCCAGGGCUGAAGGGACAUGGGGUGGGUGGGGAGAACCCAAAGGGCUCCAAGCCACCUCAGCAGGUGGCUUUGGAAGGGGCUAACAGCCCUGCAUCAGGAAGCUCAAAUCGAGUCCCCAGCAAGCUCUGCACUUCUCUGCAGCCCUGCCCACCCCAGUCCUCCUCCUCCAAACCGAAAUAUGCAGGCCAAACAAUGGGAAAUGGCUCCGCUCCAAAGAUUCAACUCACAAGGCACGUGUUGCCUCCUGUUUGCCUGCUGGUAUGUGAAGGAAGCUGUUUCUUAAUUUAAAAUGUCCUUUAACUCCCUCCAGCUGGAAAGCUACCCCAACAAAACUUAUGUUUGUGGAGGAUUUAAGCUCUGUCACUCUGAGGGGGUGGGCCCAGCUGGGUUUGCCCCAUCUGGAGCUGUGCCCAGGCUAGUGGGCACCCUGGUGUCUUGCCAUGCCCUUAAGAGUCUGUUCUCUCUGUAAGGGGGUAUUGGUUCCCCAAGGCCCACCCUGGCCAGGGCUUUCUGGGAGCCAUCAGCCAGGCUCAUGGGAAGCACGCAGCCCUAGGGGAGGGGGAGGAGCGUGGGGGUGGAGGAGGGGUGUCCUUUUGCUGAGGCUCAUUUAUGUUUGGGGGGGGAGAGAAAGCCCCCUUUCCUUACUUCUGCCAGGCCCUUGGUGAGUCUUGCCAGGCAUCCGACAGGAAAGAACCUUUUGUUCUGAGCUUGUACGAGGUCUGAGCUGGACUUGUUAUCUACCCACAGCAUUUCCUGGAUAGGAGGCUUGGACUGGGCUGCUGUAGGGGCUGGCCCCCAGCCUGGCCUUGGCCCCUUCCUCUCUUAGUGGGUGGGGCUAGGGAGGCUACCGAUGGAUGGCAAGGUCUAGGCCUUCAGGAAAGGAUGGUGAGAACUGGUAUUUAUCCUUAGGCUGUGGGGGAUAGGGUGGGAGGGGGAGCAGUGAGUCAGAAAAAGGUCCCAGGCUUGGGAAAAGGGGGCAAAACGUCACCUAAUGUGUGCGUGGGGGCGCUGCGGAACUGGGGAAGGGCUGAGUCGGGCCUCCCUGCACAAUGACACCUCUUCCCUCCUGGCUGCGAGGCUAAGGGCUCCUCCGGGGCUGCAGGACCCGCAAGAGCGCGG
rnacentral:lncRNA from 1 species